GACAGAUCCAGUCUCGGUCACGUAACACCUCUGAGCCUAAGAUACAACCAGCAAAAUGAGCGAAGUUCUGGAAUCAGAGCACAAACAUUUCAGAACUUCUUCCACCCAAAUCCAAUUGCUGCAGUGAGAAUUAUAUCUGUUCAUGUAUCUGGAGAGGCAGAGGAUGAGAUUUCUCAUAUACACAAAGGCAAAGAACGUGGAACACAUGUUCUGCUGAAAUGAUUAAUCCAUACAAUUUAAAUCAUAGUUUGGAUGUAUAUAUCAAUCAUAAAUAUAACCCUCAGUGAUGCAACUAUUACGUCUCUAAAUCUGGUAUAUAUUACAAGAGAUCACAGAACAAUAGAGAUAUGAGACAUGACCAGUCAACUAAGUACUAAGAGUCAUCAGCGUUGUACUUGGAAAGAUCCAACAGCUUCAGGAACGGAUGGAAAAGAUAUCUGAAUGGCUCCACUAGACAUUCGUAAGGAGUGAUCCUGGAACAGAUCCCAGCAAACCUUCAGCAAAGAUGAAGGUGUUGGAGUCUGCAUGCAAAAUCAAGGACUCAGUCAUAAACACAUUACAGUGGGUGUCUGCACAAGGACAGCAUUUGUACGUGGAGUAUAAAUAAAUGGUGGGGGAGUGAUGUUCUCUCUUGAAUCAUGUAACAGUCACUUUGAUAGAAUUAUGGUGGCAAAUGACAGGAAGGGAAAUAUGGUGACUUCUGUGCUGCUAUGGCUAGAAAAUAAAAAUGUGCAUUUCCUGCUGAAGCAACAACACAUCAA